UCUAAUGUAGGGAUGAGUGCAUGUGUCCAUUUUGGUAUUUCUAUAUAAUAAAAAUGUAAAAAUGUCAUCAUGCAGCCCCUAUUGGAGGAUAUACAUGGGUUUGCAUUAGGUUGAAGCUUGGAUGGGAGCAUCUGCCCCCAUCCAUACUUGGAGUCUGAACUCACCUACACUCAUGUUUGGGCCCUGUUUGUGGGUUUCCCACAGGAAUCUGGUAGGCCAUGGUGAGAACAGGAUACUAGGCUAGAUGGGCCAUUGGCCAGAACCAGCAGAGCUCUUCUUAUGUUCUUACACAAGGGUAUUUCAGCAGAAAAAUCAUUGUGGAAACGGGUUUGGGGUGUGUGGAAUCUAUUUGCACUCUGAUGACGUCACAAUGGAUGCUUUUGGAAUUUCAGAAUGCAUUAGCCAUGUUCCCAAAGGGAGGCCUCAUUGACAGGAAGGCGGACAUGUAAUCCAGAAGUGGUGGACCAAAAACAGAUUUCUGCCACCUGCUCAAAGUGGCACAGCAUCAGAGAAGAUGAACAGUGACCAGAUGCUUGGCACCUCUUCCUGCUCCUCCUCCCCACUGCCCUUCAUCAUGCCACGCCAGUAGAAGAUAUUUCACCAUUAAAUGGAGAGUCAGAAUGAACAUCCAGCUUCUGCUUCA